rnacentral:lncRNA from 1 species
CAGGAAGAUCUCUGUGCUUGGAAGAAGGCCACAGGGCCAGGGGGGCUUGAAGUAUACCCAGAGAUCCUCAAAGGAAUUCCCUAGUCAUUGUGUUAAGAGAGCUGAAGGGAAAGGUGGCAGAGGUCCAGCUCCCAGUCCGCAUCUGGAUCGUAUACUGAUUAGAAUCUGCUUCAUCACUUGGAAAAUCACUCUCCAUGGAAUGCUUAAGUUUGUGGAGGUGAAUAAUGAAAAGAAGAAAAGAAAAUCAAGGAAGGAAAGAGCAAACAUAAAAGGAGGAAGAGAAAAAGUGAGGAAUGGAAUCAUCUAGAAAGGUGAAAGAUGAACAUGAGUAAUCAUAACUUGCCUUUACUUAAUGGGAGGAUAUAAACACCAAUUUAAUAAUAAAGUUUCUCAUUAGAAUUUUUCUGCCAUCACAUUUGUACAUAACUAUGAGCGGCCUGUGUGUAUAUUAUUAUUCUGUACUCUUUCUGUUAUAAUCAC